AGCUUUCGCGGUAUGGGAUGGGGUCGCGUCCUAUCAGCUUGACGGCGGGGUAACGGCCCACCGUGGCUUCGACGGGUAGCCGGCCUGAGAGGGCGACCGGCCACAUUGGGACUGAGAUACGGCCCAGACUCCUACGGGAGGCAGCAGUGGGGAAUAUUGCACAAUGGGCGCAAGCCUGAUGCAGCGACGCCGCGUGAGGGAUGGAGGCCUUCGGGUUGUAAACCUCUUUUAUCGGGGAGCAAGCGAGAGUGAGUUUACCCGUUGAAUAAGCACCGGCUAACUACGUGCCAGCAGCCGCGGUAAUACGUAGGGUGCAAGCGUUAUCCGGAAUUAUUGGGCGUAAAGGGCUCGUAGGCGGUUCGUCGCGUCCGGUGUGAAAGUCCAUCGCUUAACGGUGGAUCCGCGCCGGGUACGGGCGGGCUUGAGUGCGGUAGGGGAGACUGGAAUUCCCGGUGUAACGGUGGAAUGUGUAGAUAUCGGGAAGAACACCAAUGGCGAAGGCAGGUCUCUGGGCCGUUACUGACGCUGAGGAGCGAAAGCGUGGGGAGCGAACAGGAUUAGAUACCCUGGUAGUCCACGCCGUAAACGGUGGAUGCUGGAUGUGGGGCCCGUUCCACGGGUUCCGUGUCGGAGCUAACGCGUUAAGCAUCCCGCCUGGGGAGUACGGCCGCAAGGCUAAAACUCAAAGAAAUUGACGGGGGCCCGCACAAGCGGCGGAGCAUGCGGAUUAAUUCGAUGCAACGCGAAGAACCUUACCUGGGNCUGACAUGUUCCCGACGGUCGUAGAGAUACGGCUUCCCUUCGGGGCGGGUUCACAGGUGGUGCAUGGUCGUCGUCAGCUCGUGUCGUGAGAUGUUGGGUUAAGUCCCCGAACGAGGGGCACCCUCGCCCCGUGGUGCCAGCGGAUUAUGCCGGGAACUCCCGGGGGACCGCCCGGGGUUAACUCGGAGGAAGGGGGGGAUGAAGUCAAAUCAUCAUGCCCCUUACGUUCAGGGGUUUAGGCCUGCUAACAGUGGCGGGACAACCGGAAUGCAACCCGGCACACCGGAAGGGAACCCUGGAAACCG
rnacentral:rRNA from 1 species